AGUGGCGCACGGGUGAGUAACACGUGACUAACCUACCCUGGAGUGGGGAAUAACUGAGGGAAACCUUAGCUAAUACCGCAUAAUACCCACGGGUCAAAGGAGCAAUUCGCUCCAGGAGGGGGUCGCGGCCGAUUAGUUAGUUGGCGGGGUAACGGCCCACCAAGACGAUGAUCGGUAUCCGGCCUGAGAGGGCGCACGGACACACUGGAACUGAAACACGGUCCAGACUCCUACGGGAGGCAGCAGUGGGGAAUUUUGCGCAAUGGGGGAAACCCUGACGCAGCAACGCCGCGUGGAGGAUGAAGUCCUUCGGGACGUAAACUCCUUUCGAUCGGGACGAUUAUGACGGUACCGGAAGAAGAAGCCCCGGCUAACUUCGUGCCAGCAGCCGCGGUAAUACGAGGGGGGCGAGCGUUGUUCGGAAUUAUUGGGCGUAAAGGGUGCGUAGGCGGUUUGGUAAGUCUUUUGUGAAAUCUCUGGGCUCAACUCAGAGCUUGCAGGAGAAACUGCCGGGCUUGAGUGUGGGAGAGGUGAGUGGAAUUCCCGGUGUAGCGGUGAAAUGCGUAGGUAUCGGGAGGAACACCUGUGGCGAAAGCGGCUCACUGGACCGUAACUGACGCUGAUGCACGAAAGCUAGGGGAGCAAACAGGAUUAGAUACCCUGGUAGUCCUAGCCCUAAACCAUGACUGCUUGGCGUGACGGGUACCCAAUCCCGCCGUGCCGUAGCUAACGCGUUAAGCAGUCCGCCUGGGGAGUACGGUCGCAAGGCUGAAACUCAAAGGAAUUGACGGGGGCCCGCACAAGCGGUGGAGCAUGUGGUUCAAUUCGA
rnacentral:rRNA from 1 species